AAUGAACGCUGGCGGCGUGCUUAACACAUGCAAGUCGAGCGGUAAGGCCCUUUCGGGGGUACACGAGCGGCGAACGGGUGAGUAACACGUGGGUGACCUGCCCUCAGCUCUGGGAUAAGCCUGGGAAACCGGGUCUAAUACCGGAUAUGACUCCAUGACGCAUGUUGUGGGGUGGAAAGCCUUGUGCGGCUGAGGAUGGGCCCGCGGCCUAUCAGCUUGUUGGUGGGGNGAUGGCCUACCAAGGCGACGACGGGUAGCCGGCCUGAGAGGGCGACCGGCCACACUGGGACUGAGACACGGCCCAGACUCCUACGGGAGGCAGCAGUGGGGAAUCUUGCGCAAUGGGCGAAAGCCUGACGCAGCGACGCCGCGUGAGGGAUGACGGCCUGG
rnacentral:rRNA from 1 species